GACGCAGACGAUGGUCAACCAAUGCUGUUUGCAUCCCUUCCUCUCUCCUCCCCAUCUGGCAAAUAGAGCCUGGGCGUUGGGACGCUUUGGCCUGGGUUUGAUACUGGUUCUCCUAUUGAACAACUGAGUGACCUUGGCCAGAGCAGCAAACCGCUUGAAGUCUCAGUGUUUUCUUCUGUGUAAUGGGCACUGCAAGGAUUGUUGUGAGGAUUCAGUGAGAAGGCUCACGGAAAGAGCCCGGCACACAGCAGGUGCUUAUCGAAAGGUCAAUGUUACCGGCUACUUUGUCAGCUUGGGGCUGUUGGGACUCUUGGCUCUGUAAUCAAGAGUCCUAUCUUCCUGUCUCCCGCCAGAUGGGGGCAGUCACUGCCUUCUUAUUCCCCGCGUGCUCAUAAAAGACUUUUCCAGCAGCCAGCUCACUCGCCACCAGAGGGCUUUGUCGCCUCUUUUAAAAGCAUUCUUGGGUGGACAGAGUCCUGGAUGACAGACAAACCCAUCAGAUUCUAAUUUGGUUCUCAGUUGAUUGCAUCUUCAUCUGAAACCAGCGGUCAGACAGCCCCCCACUCUGAGCUCGCUCUGGCUGGGACUGCCACGCCCACUCCAGGUGCCCUGACGCGGACCCAGUUUUCUAGAGAGAUGCUGCCCAGGUACACAGGGGAUCUUCUGGAUCAAACCCACAUCUCCUGCAUUGCAGGCGGUUUCUAUGCCUCUUGAGCUACCAGGGAAGCCCUUGCUUAUUACUACCCUUUGAGAUCCCAGAGGAAGANNNNNNNNNNNNNNNNNNNNNNNNNNNNNNNNNNNNNNNNNNNNNNNNNNNNNNNNNNNNNNNNNNNNNNNNNNNNNNNNNNNNNNNNNNNNNNNNNNNUACCAGGGAAGCCCUUGCUUAUUACUACCCUUUGAGAUCCCAGAGGAAGAGAAACAGAACCAGGCUGGAGGAGAAGGAGCAGGAUUUCUUCUUCUCCACCAGACUGAUGAUUGAGAGGAAAUGUUUUCCUGCAACUUAUACUUCAGUCUGGACUUCUUAAAACUGUUCUUUUUCACUAGUUUGACUAAAUAUAUCUUUCUAUGAACAUUUGCACAGAUUUUUGUCUUGUCAUUUUUUCCCCCGAGUGACUGGUGUCACGGGCAGAGUUUGCUUCUGGAAUCAUGCUGACCUGGUUUUGAAUUCUGACUCUGUGGCUAAAUGAGCGGUGUGACCUUGGACAAGUUACCGAACCUAUCUGUGUUUCAUCUUCCUCAUCUGUGAAACGGAAAUUAGAGUAUGUUUCUCAUGAGGUUCUUUGGAGAGCUUGAAAGUAUACUUUCCAUUACGAAACACUUCAAACACAAGUAAGAAACNNNNNNNNNNNNNNUUACAGUCCCAGGUGCUCACCUUGUAGCUACAACAGCGUUGACGUUUUAGACCCUUUUGUUUUGUUACUCCUUUCAUCCAUGUUGCCCCCAUCCCAGUGGAUUAUUUUGAAGCAAAUUCUUAUCAUAUGGCAUUUUAUUUGUAAAUAUUGUGAUACAUGUCUCGCUUUUAAAACAUAGCUUUAGAGAGGUUUCAUGGAGCUUAUUCUUUGUAACCAGGAUUUUUAGUAAAAUUUACAGGAUCUGAUGAGAGCUCUCGUGUCCUGCCAUUAGAGUUUUCCAAGAAUAAUUGCAAUCACAUGCUCUUGCUUAUUGACUGUUGGCUCAUUUGACUGCAAACACAAGCAGCAGUGAGCCAUUAGACUACUGAGUUAUAAUCCAGCUACAGUCAUAUACCUGAUGACCGUUUUUGGGGGGCAGUGCUAUCUACCGAGCUAUGUUUUUACAACCCUUUAAGGUGCGAAUGACUAUCUUCAUCUGUAGGCAAGGAAAAAGAGACACAAGAGAGGUUAAGGCGUUUCCUGGGUCACACAGCAGUGAGUGGUUGAGGUGGAGUUUGAAACCAAAGCCUGUUUGACGCCAGAGUCCGUAUCCUGUCCUCUGUCCUGGGCUGUGAUCUUUGGAAUUUCAAUUGGCUUCUCUGUUGAGACUGUAGAUUCUUCAGGUAAGGGCUCUACCUCACAUGGCUAUUUCCAUGGUCCCCAGAAAUCUUAUGAUUUGACUAAUACAAAGUCCAGAGCAAUCUCUGAAAAUUGGUGUGUAAAAGCCAAUCUUAUCAUCAUCACCAUCAGUUUGAACACAAAUGCCGGUUGCAUAUCUCUACAUAGCACAGUACUCAGACCCUGUGGGGAGUUAAAUACGCAGUCUCUGUCCUCGAGGUUAUUUAUGGCAUCUGCCAGGGAUUGAUUCAGACAUAACAGCAAUAAGAUGGGGAAAUGGGUUGGAAAUAUUACUGCCUAUGAGAGUGAUUCCUUAUCUGCUUCAAUGGCUUCAUAUUCCACAUGAAGGCAAAGACGUGGAUAUGAGCUGAAAAAUAUUUAUCUAGCCCAGUGUGUGCCAGGAGCUGUGCUGGGGGUCUUCUACUAGGGAGAGGCAGGAGGAAGCAGCAUGCUGGGGUCAGUGGACAAUCACAUAGACAAUUCAGAGCAAGUGGAAAACACACACCACAUUUUGCAGCAGCAACAGCGCUGGAGGGAGAUGAGCAGGGUGGUGUAGCAGACGGCCGCAGGGAAGAGGAGCCCUAGUGUGGACGUGGGGGCCAAGAGGACCCCUCUUAGAGGGUGGCCUCUGAGCCAUGCCCAGAAGGUUGAGCCACAGGCAGCAAAUGAGAAGCCACAGAGGCUCAUUCCAGGCGGGGAAGAGCACGUGCAAAGGCCCUGAGGUGGAACAGGGUUGGCAUAUUUGUGGGACAGUAG
rnacentral:lncRNA from 1 species